UACGGAAGGCAGCAGUGGGGAAUAUUGCACAAUGGGCGCAAGCCUGAUGCAGCCAUGCCGCGUGUAUGAAGAAGGCCUUCGGGUUGUAAAGUACUUUCAGUCGUGAGGAAGGUGUUAAGGUUAAUAACCUUAGCAAUUGACGUUAGCGACAGAAGAAGCACCGGCUAACUCCGUGCCAGCAGCCGCGGUAAUACGGAGGGUGCGAGCGUUAAUCGGAAUUACUGGGCGUAAAGGGCACGCAGGCGGUUAAUUAAGUUGGAUGUGAAAUCCCCGGGCUUAACCUGGGAAUGGCAUUCAAGCUGGUUAGCUAGAGUCUUGUAGAGGGGGUAGAAUUCCAUGUGUAGCGGUGAAAUGCGUAGAGAUGUGGAGGAAUACCGGUGGCGAAGGCGGCCCCGUGGACAAAGACUGACGCUCAUGUGCGAAGCGUGGGGAGCAAACGAGGGAUUAGAUACC
rnacentral:rRNA from 1 species